rnacentral:rRNA from 1 species
UACGGAGGGGGCUAGCGUUAUUCGGAAUUACUGGGCGUAAAGCGCACGUAGGCGGACUGAAAAGUCAGAGGUGAAAUCCCAGGGCUCAACCUUGGAACUGCCUUUGAAACUCUCAGUCUUGAGGUCGAGAGAGGUGAGUGGAAUUCCGAGUGUAGAGGUGAAAUUCGUAGAUAUUCGGAGGAACACCAGUGGCGAAGGCGGCUCACUGGCUCGAUACUGACGCUGAGGUGCGAAAGCGUGGGGAGCAAACAGG